rnacentral:rRNA from 1 species
GAUGAACGCUGGCGGCGUGCUUAACACAUGCAAGUCGAACGAGAAGUGAAGACGGAAACCUUCGGGCGGAAGGCUUUAUUUCGAGUGGCGGACGGGUGAGUAACGCGUGGGUAACCUGCCUCAUACAGGGGGAUAACAGUUGGAAACGACUGUUAAUACCGCAUAAGACCACAGCACCGCAUGGUGCGGGGGUAAAAACUCCGGUGGUAUGAGAUGGACCCGCGUUCGAUUAGCCAGUUGGCGGGGUAACGGACCACCAAAGCGACGAUCGAUAGCCGAUCUGAGAGGAUGACCGGCCACAUUGGGACUGAGACACGGCCCAAACUCCUACGGGAGGCAGCAGUGGGGAAUAUUGCACGAUGGGGGAAACCCUGAUGCAGCGACGCCGCGUGAGUGAAGAAGUAUUUCGGUAUGUAAAGCUCUAUCAGCAGGGAAGAAAAUGACGGUACCUGAGUAAGAAGCCCCGGCUAACUACGUG